rnacentral:rRNA from 1 species
GUGGGGAAUCUUGCGCAAUGGACGAAAGUCUGACGCAGCGACGCCGCGUGGGUGAUGAAGGCCUUCGGGUUGUAAAGCCCUGUGGGGAGGGACGAAUAAGUUCCAGCUAAUACCUGGAGCGAUGACGGUACCUAACCAGAAAGCCACGGCUAACUACGUGCCAGCAGCCGCGGUAAUACGUAGGUGGCAAGCGUUAUCCGGAAUUAUUGGGCGUAAAGCGCGCGCAGGUGGUUUCUUAAGUCUGAUGUGAAAGCCCACGGCUCAACCGUGGAGGGUCAUUGGAAACUGGGAGACUUGAGUGCAGAAGAGGAAAGUGGAAUUCCAUGUGUAGCGGUGAAAUGCGUAGAGAUAUGGAGGAACACCAGUGGCGAAGGCGACUUUCUGGUCUGUAACUGACACUGAGGCGCGAAAGCGUGGGGAGCAAACAGGAUUAGAAACCCUAGUAGUCC